GACGAGUGGCGAGCGGGUGAGUAAUAUAUCGGAACGUGCCCAGUUGUGGGGGAUAACUGCUCGAAAGAGCAGCUAAUACCGCAUACGACCUGAGGGUGAAAGCGGGGGAUCGCAAGACCUCGCGCAAUUGGAGCGGCCGAUAUCAGAUUAGCUAGUUGGCGGGGUAAAAGCCCACCAAGGCGACGAUCUGUAGCUGGUCUGAGAGGACGACCAGCCACACUGGGACUGAGACACGGCCCAGACUCCUACGGGAGGCAGCAGUGGGGAAUUUUGGACAAUGGACGCAAGUCUGAUCCAGCCAUGCCGCGUGCGGGAAGAAGGCCUUCGGGUUGUAAACCGCUUUUGUCAGGGAAGAAACGCUCUGGGCUAAUACCCUGGGGUAAUGACGGUACCUGAAGAAUAAGCACCGGCUAACUACGUGCCAGCAGCCGCGGUAAUACGUAGGGUGCAAGCGUUAAUCGGAAUUACUGGGCGUAAAGCGUGCGCAGGCGGUUAUGCAAGACAGAUGUGAAAUCCCCGGGCUCAACCUGGGAACUGCAUUUGUGACUGCAUGGCUAGAGUACGGUAGAGGGGGAUGGAAUUCCGCGUGUAGCAGUGAAAUGCGUAGAUAUGCGGAGGAACACCGAUGGCGAAGGCAAUCCCCUGGACCUGUACUGACGCUCAUGCACGAAAGCGUGAGGAGCGAACAGGAUUAGAUACCCUGGUAGUCCACGCCCUAAACGAUGUCAACUGGUUGUUGGGAGGGUUUCUUCCCAGUAACGUAGCUAACGCGUGAAGUUG
rnacentral:rRNA from 1 species